rnacentral:rRNA from 1 species
CGAACGGGUGAGUAACGCGUGAGGAACCUGCAUCAAAGAGGGGGACAACAGUUGGAAACGACUGCUAAUACCGCAUAAGCCCACGGGUCGGCAUCGACCUGAGGGAAAAGGAGCAAUCCGCUUUGAGAUGGCCUCGCGUCCGAUUAGCUAGUUGGUGAGGUAACGGCCCACCAAGGCGACGAUCGGUAGCCGGACUGAGAGGUUGAACGGCCACAUUGGGACUGAGACACGGCCCAG